rnacentral:lncRNA from 1 species
AUUUCUACAUUUCCAAAUACGCCACAAACCACACACCUCACCGCAAAAAGCUUAUCCGCCUCCACCUCAACACUAUAUUUUUGACAUAACCAAUUUCCAACAUUCCAAGAAAUCCUCACCCUUUACCGAAACCACAUCCAACUGUAAUGGUGAACCUAACUAAAAAAUUCUAGCAAAAGAGCAUUUGAGAAGAGAUGUACCUGUGUCUCCACAUCCUCUCCACAUUGUGGACAACAAGUCUCCUACCGAACACCCCAGCGUUGUAGAUUAGUACGAACCACCAAUAUAUUUUUACAACCCCUCCAAAUGAAAUGCCGAAGCUUUGGAGGAACUUGCAACUGCCACACAUCCAACCAAGUAGGAUCCUUAAUAUGACCCUCACUCGAUUGACCCGUCCCUUUACGUCCCAGCUCACCAUUUCUCUCCAUCUCCUGAGCCACCUUAUAACCCGAUUUGACCGAGUACAAUACACACAUUUCCGUGUAUAAUGCCAGAUAAUUCGAUCCAGGCACCCAAACAUACUAAGCGGCAAGCUUAAAUAAUACGGGCUUCCUCAUUAUUGAAACACCCUUCAACCACAUCCCUCUUCCAUUGAUCGUCAGGAGUUACUAGCUCUGUGUUGAUUAUUGACUCAAACAUGUAGUCAAAGUCCAAUUCUUUGGGCUACUUUGUGGUAAUGGGAGGCAAACAACAUUUGUGCCUAAUUUGUGCCUAAUUUGUGCCUAACUCUUUUGACUUGAUGGUAGGCCUUUGGCCAUUGAUGUCUUUGAGAAGCCUUUCUUUGGCUAUAAAAGGAGAGCAAGGUGCAGCUCAUAAGCACGGAGGAGAGACAAGAGGAGAACAAGGAAGAGAGAAAAAUAGUAAGCAGCCAUUCGGCAUAGAGAAGAAUUUUCUCAAAUUGUCUUGCUUUGUAUUUUUGGUUUUCUCUUCCUAUUGUAAGUGUGAGAGCUUGGGUUAUUCGGGUCUUUGGGAAAUUGAGUGAUAAACACUAUUGUAUGUUCUCAUUGAUUAUAGUGGAAUACUCCGUCGUCUUCAAACUGGAUGUAGGCAUUGCCGAACCAGUAUAAAUCUUGGUGUUCUUGUUGGUGUUGUUUUUAUUCUGUUCUGUCUUACUAUUCACUUACAGUCGAAUGCCGCUUCCGCACAACACUCUGCAACCAACUGUGGCAUCUCAGAUGCCCACGAAGUAGAUAGGAAUGUACAUGGAAUUGGUAACCAUGGGUCAUUCUGAAUCCGUAUACACCCUUCAUCUCCAACCCACCAUCGUAUGAGAAUUCUCCGACCCUGCAAAAUACCCUUCCACCCCCAAGAAGUUCCCCUUCCCACCGAUGCAUCCAGGAAAGUAGAGAAAGGGUAAUAUUUUGCUUAAAGAAUCUUAGCCAACAUAGAGUCCGGAUUACAGAUAAUCCACCACCCAACCUUUGCAAGCAUGGCUAAGUUAAAAGAAAUAAUUUCCUUAAAUCCAAGACCACCGACAAUAUUACAUUUCGUCAAUUUACUCCAAACCAUCCAAUGAACCCCCUUAUGUGUUUUCUUACUUGCUCAAUUUCCUUAGCCAACCAAAUAGGUAGUUAAAAACAAGGCAUAGUGUAAUUAGGCAAAGCAGUGGCUACACUUUUAAGAAUGACCUCUUUCCCAGCAACCGAUAGAAAACUACUCCGCCCACCCAUUAAUUCUCUCCUCCAGCCUAUUCCAUAUGUCUUCAAACACCUUCUUCUUAAAACCUCCAAAAUCCGCUUGGAGACCUAAGUACUUACCAAAGUUCUCCUGGUAUUUAAUCCCCACCACUUCUGACAACCGGUUCCUCAAAGGUUGUGGACAACUAGAUGGUAACACAUUUAUACUUUAGAGAUCCUUACUGUUUUUUACUAUAUCUAAAUUUCAAAGUAUAAAGUAAUUAUCAAACACUAACUUAACUUAAAUUCUUAGCAAAGAUCGAUCAUUUGUUUUAGGGGUGUGAUAUCCACACACCAUUUUUUACUUCUCUCACACCUUUUUGGUUUUCAGCUGUUGGAUCGGAUGAAUUGAAGAAAAUCAACGGACAUAAAUCAACAAGGGGUGUGUGAGAAGUAAAAAGGGGUGUGUGGACAGCACACCCCUUGUUUUAUUGACACUCUAUUUGUACUAUUAUUACAGAAAAGUUUAGCUGAGUUCAAAUUUCAUAGAUAAUAAUUGUUGAAUAAAAAAUAAAAAAUAAAAGCUUCAAAGAUGUUGUUCAAAACAUAAGUACAGUAUCAAUGUUUAAAAUAGAAACUUAAGGAUCUUAUUUCUUAUCAUUCAUGUACACCACUCAAAUUUAAUUCCCUCAACUUAUUAUGAGUUCUUUCAUUUUAUUUAUUUAUAAUAGUCCCAUCUUUCAAUCUAAAAGUUUCUUUGCAGAACAAAGUGGUCGCUACACUUUUAAGGACCUCUUUCCCAGUAACCGAUAGAAAACUGCUCCGUCCACCCAUUAAUUCUCUCCUCCAGCCUAUUCCAUAUGUCCUCAAACACCUUCUUCUUAAAAACUCCAAAAUCCGCUUGGAGACCUAAGUAUUUACCAAAUUCUCCUGGUAUUUAAUCCCCAACACUUCUGACAAUCGGUUCCUCAAAGGUUGUGGACAACUAGAUGGUAACACAUUUAUACUUUAGAGAUCCUUACUGUUUUUUACUGUAUCUAAAUUUCAAAGUAUAAAGUAAUUAUCAAACACUAACUUAUCUUAAAUUCUUAGCAAAGAUCGAUCAUUUGUUUUAUUGACACUCUAUUUGUACUAUUAUUACGGAAAAGUUUAGCUGAGUUCAAAUUUUAUAGAUAAUAAUUUUUUAAUCAAACAAAAAAAAAAAAAAAAAAAAAAGCUUCAAAGAUGUUCAAAACAUAAGUACAGUAUCAAUGUUUAAAAUAGAAACUUAAGGAUCUUAUUUCUUAUCAUUCAUGUACACCACUCAAAUUUAAUUCCCUCAACUUAUUAUGAGUUCUUUCAUUUUACUUAUUUAUAAUAGUCCCAUCUUUCAGUCUAAAAGUUUCUUUGCAGAGCAAAGUGGUCGCUACACUUUUAAGAAUGACCUCUUUCCCAGUAACCGAUAGAAAACUAUUCCGCCCACCCAUUAAUUCUCUCCUCCAGCCUAUUCCAUAUGUCUUCAAACACCUUCUUCUUAAAAACUCCAAAAUCCGCUUGGAGACCUAAGUAUUUACCAAAUUCUCCUGGUAUUUAAUCCCCAACACUUCUGACAACCGGUUCCUCAAAGGUUGUGGACAACUAGAUGGUAACACAUUUAUACUUUAGAGAUCCUUACUGUUUUUUACUAUAUCUAAAUUUCAAAGUAUAAAUUAUCAAACACUAACUUAACUUAAAUUCUUAGCAAAGAUCGAUCAUUUGUUUUAUUGACACUCUAUUUGUACUAUUAUUACAGAAAAGUUUAGCUGAGUUCAAAUUUUAUAGAUAAUAAUUUUUUAAUCAAAAAAAAAAAAAAAAAAAAGCUUCAAAGAUGUUGUUCAAAACAUAAGUACAGUAUCAAUGUUUAAAAUAGAAACUUAAGGAUCUUAUUUCUUAUCAUUCAUGUACACCACUCAAAUUUAAUUCCCUCAACUUAUUAUGAGUUCUUUCAUUUUAUUUAUUUAUAAUAGUCCCAUCUUUCAGUCUAAAAGUUUCUUUGGAGAACAAGGCGCAUUUGCAUCUACAAGUGGUCGUCUUUUACUAAAGGUUUUUUUUUAUUAGCAUCCCACUAAGUGUUGAAUAAACCUCACAUAAUAUUUUAUUAUUAAAUAACUUAUAUACCCUAAUAUGCAAUUACUAUUUAGGCCAUAUAUGUAUUAAAAAAUAAAAAUUAUUUUCUGAAUACACCCCAACUAUUUGUCAAUAUGUAUUCUAAGAUUGUUUUCUUUCAAGCUCUUGAAGAUACUCUCACCUCCAUUAUAAAACAAAACCCUAACUAAAAGCACAACAUAGUUAAUGAAAAAGAGAGGUUAAGUUUGACGAAUGAAACAUGAAAUCAAUGUUUUGGAGGCUUCGACGUUGUCCGUAGCUCUGUCACUUGGGUAUUGACUACAACAUCUGUAUCAUUUGUAACUUCGACAUUGAUUCCAACAUCUAUAUCAUCUGUAAGUUUGAAACUAAAAUGUCAUCUCCAACUUUUGUGUUAUUAGAAUUUAAAAAAAAAUGCAUGUGCUUAUAUAUUUCUUCAUAAAUACAUCUCUUGGCAUACAUUUUCCUUUGCAUGAAAAUCAUUUAAAAUCUCUAAUUGAUAUGCAAAGGGAACUUUUGGGUUGAGCUUUAGAUACCAGGCAUGAAUCGUAACAUUAAAAUUUCUUCUUUGAUCCUACAGUUGCCCAGAAAUAUUCAAACAUAAAAUAAGCAAGAAAGACAAUAUGGGCAUAUACUUCUUCUCAUAACGUGAUCCACAUAUUUGAGAAAUCUAUGACUAUCUUCUCCCCCAAAACUCUAGCAAGUUCUUUGCUGAAAAACAAAACAUAAAAAACUAUUUGAAUAAUUUAAUUAAGGAAGAGUUUGAUUGUAGGGUUUAAGUAGGGUGUGAGGUUUAUGCAGAGGGGUGUGGGGUGUAAGGGUAGUAUUGGAAAAUAAGUGGGGUGUAUUAAGAUAAAUUUUUAGUUAAAAAGUAGAUUUAGGGUGUAUUAAGUAUGUGGGGUGUUAAUAAAACAAGCCUUUACUAAGGGGUACAAAACUUUUUGUAUUUGGCUUCUUUUUUUUUUUUAACCUUUUGUUAUGAACAAAAGCUAUUGCUUUUUUUUUUUAACGAACAAUAUUAUCUACAUUAAAGAAAAGGAAUGUGAGUUUAUCCUCACAAUGGGCUAGCAAUAAUGUAAUUCAAAUUCGCCUUUGGCGAGAAUCGAAUCUAAGACCUCUCACUUACAAGUAAAGAGGAAUAUCAAUACAUCAUACUACUAAGUGGCACCAGAGUUAUUGAUUUUAGUUUGGAAAAACUUCAGUAAGUGAUUCUAUGAAUCCGUUUGAUAAUUUUUGGUUUUUAAUUUUUAAUCUUGGUGGUUGGGAGUUAGGGAGAGAAAGAAAAGAGUGGCGGAGAGAGGAGAAAUAAAGGACAAUUUGAUUAAAAAUAAAAUCUUAAAAGUGAAAAUAACUUAAAAUAAUUUUUAAUUUUCAUUUUGUGUUUCUUUUCUUGUGUUCUUAUACAUUUCUUGGACGUAUCUUUUACCAUCUUUUUUUCACUCAUAGCUAACAAAAAAAAUAAAAUCUGAAAAACUAAAAACAAAAAAAAAAUGAAAUGGUUAUGAAACAAAUCCCAAGACUUCAUGACUUAUUUUUUUGGGGAGUUUUAACGAAACACUUCCGGUACUAUUCACUUUUAACGAAAAAUGACAUUUUUACCUUUUCUGAUACUAUUCAUUUACACAUUUAUUUGUCUUUUUUCAUUAAAACUAAAGUUUGUAAAGAAUUUUCGUUAGUGUUUCUUUAUUUAUUUUUUGUUAGAAAACAAAUAUGAAUGGAUAUUGAACCAUGAAGCUCUUCUCAAGUCAACUAACAUAGUCCUUGUUGAAUCAUGACUUGUAUAAAUAAUAUUCCAUAGAUAUAUCAGUCCUUGAUUCCUGGGAUAGAUCACGACCAAAACAUCCAUGAAUAAUUGACAAAGUGGUCAUUUUCUGUGGGUAAAUUUCUAAGAGCAAGACAAUGUAAUUUUUGUGUGCGUGGAUAAAUUAAACAAUUGUCAGUUGUAAAUAACGCUAAUGUCCCAACUUUUCUUUUGGUUAAUUGUCCUAAGUUUUGUUCAUGGCAUCUUAUUAAGAAGGAAUGCAGCCUACUGCUUAACAGACAAAUCAAACAUACACGUCAAAGUGAAGAAAGAAACACAUUUGAAAUGUUCUUGUCUGGGUCCCUUAAUUAAUUAGUGUCGAACAGUUUCUUACAGAAAAAUAAAAAUGGUGGCCCUUUGGAAUCUAGCCCUCCAUGAUCUCGUAAAGUUUAUACACUCUAGCCUAUAAAGGGUUUCAAAUAGUGCAUAUGUUACAACUUCAUCACUAAAAAAAACUACCACGUCUGAUGUAAUGAUAGAGAUAGACGUAUGAAUGUAUACAAUCGGCCAUGCCUAAGAAUUUCUUAUCAUAAUUUUAGAGGUGUUAAUUAGCUGAUGAUCCAGUUGUUAUCCUCUUGAGGAUGAAGCUUAUUCAGAUUUUAGAAAAUUAAACUAAGACUAACAAAGUUAAGCAAACAAAAGAGUUGCCACCUUUAUCUGAUCAAUUUAUACCACAAUAUAAUUGCGUUUCUUUUGUAAGUGGUUGAAGACCUGGUCCAAUUACCGUCGCAUUGAACAAAAUAAAAAGAUAUGGAUCGCGAUCAACAAUACUUGUGCGGGUGUCAUGCAUGCAUACUGAGUACUUUGUGCUUUAAUAAAUUAAUGGAUAAUACUGAUAUAUUGGAGGUCUCAGCUGUUCAUACUAAGUAUUAACUACGUAUAGUUUGAUCUCUCAUUUGCAAACCCCAAAAAAUCAUCAGUGUGAUGACCUCAAACAAAAAAAAAAACACCAGAACAAACACUUUUAAUUAAGAGUAACAUACAACGGUAGCCAUGCACAAAGCAAAUCCCAAGCCCAGCUAGUUUAGGAGAUCAUGGAUUUGCAGGUAAAAUGGCAAUCUUAUUUUACAGUAAGUUCUAAAACCCAACUGAACAAUUCAACUUUCACAGUCCUUUUCUUAUUUAUAUAGACCCCAUGCAGGACAGCUCUUCAUGACUUUGACCUCGGCUUGCUUUGAUCAUUUGUUGCAGCCGCAUGAGCUGCAGCUGCAGUUUGAGCCACACUUGCAGUCAUUCUCUGCUCCAUAGUUCAUCUCAGACCCCUCAGAGAACCUGCAAUAAUAAUAAAAAUAAUCAGCCUUAUUCAAUUAAUCAAUCUAUUUUCAGCAUACAAUUCAUAAAAUUAAAGCAAUGGUUGAAGAGUUUAUCAAAGAGCAGUAUGGACAAAUAGAACUAGAGGGACACUAAGUAAACAACAUGGAGUACAUGCCGCAUAAUUCUAAACUAUUAUAAAAAAUGUGUAUCCGGUUUUAUUCUAGGUAUAUUUCUCUUGUAAAAACUUACGUCUUCACUGGUGCAACCCCAGCAAUGAUGGUAGUGGAAGUGGUCUCUGAGUAACCCAAGUCAGCGUGCAUCCCACAUCUACAUAUAUAAAAUGAUAUUAUUGGAAAAUACAAACAAAGUAAUUAAUUCCUAAUUAAGGCUAUUAGGAAUAAUAGAGAAUGAUGAUCAAUCAUAUAUACGGUUAGGGUUACACUGUUACAGUACUUGCAGCCACUGCCGCACUUGCAGUCACUACCACAGCUACAAUUGCUAGACAUGUUCUUCAAAAGUUGGUAUAAGGACAACGGAGAAGAUUGUUUUAGUGCUGGGAAUUGAAUUAACUCAAAGCCUGGGAUGAGUUUUCUUGUGAGGGUCUCAACCGCUAUUUAUAGUAGUGCAGGUGAAGGUGUACACGCCGAUCAAAUGUAGAUAUCUAUGCUGAUAAUAAAGUUUAUUGACAUUACAUUGUUAAGUCACCGUGAAUUUCUUGAUCACCAAAUGACCAAGAGAAUAUUUGUAUUAUAUUAUAAGUACAUACUUCUAUUUAAUUAUAUUUUUAUAUGAAUUCUUUAAUAUGAAACUCUAAUUCCUCGUAACAAGUAACAAUAUAUAGCAUAAUAACAAUCAGUCUCUAUGUGUAUGCAUCAGGUGACUUCUUUUCUUAUGAACCAGAGUUAUCGAUUUUAGUUGGCCAAAACGUAUUUUGAUGAAGCCAAGUUGUUGGAUAAAAAAAAAUGUAAAAAAUAAAAAAGAUGAAACCAAGUUAUCCUAAAUGAUUAGAUUCCAUGGCUUAAAAUUUUGUUGGAAAACAAAAAGGAGCUGAAACUCCCCUCAAGUCAUUGGGGCAAGGCUACAAUACUCUCGAAAUUAAAUACUCCGCCACUUAAAGCUCUUAGUUAAUCAUCAAUUUCUAUGAUAGAUGGACCAAACUUACAUGAAUUGCCAAAGUGGUCAUUUUCUGUAUGUAAAUUUCUAGAAGCAAAAUAAUGUUAAUUUUUUUAUUUUGGCCACUAUUAGUUGAAUAAAAUAAAAUGUACACAUCAAAGUGACAUAUUUGAAAUGUUCUCUCUUCUGGGUCCCUUAAUUAAUCUGUAUCAAAUAUUUUUCACAUAGACAAAUAAACUUGGUGGCCCCUCGGAAAUUGGGAAUCCAAACCACCAUGGAUUUAAUUGUUAUUUUAUACUCUAAUAUCUAGGAUGGUCGACGAUCGAUGCUAUCAAGGACAGUCUAAAGGGACUUCAAAUCAUUUUAUAUGAUGCAAUUUUGUCACAAAACCUUCCAACCAAUCAAAUUAAAGUUGAUAACGUGUUGCGGCAAGUUGUCUCACCAAAUUAUUGGCGCGAUUUGGCUAUUUUAUUGUUACCAAGAAGUGUUUUUUUGUUUUUGUUUUUUAAGUGAGAAAUAUGUUGAUUGUUUUUUUUUAACAUAAUAAUACUCUUAACACAUCACUAUUUAUGAAUCAUCACUUAAGUUAAACAUGUAAAAAAUUCAUAUUAUAAGACCCAUAAACAC